rnacentral:lncRNA from 1 species
AAAAACCUAGGGACCAAUGGACAAAAUAAAUAAAAAUAUACCUAGACCUAUGCUCUACCUAUAAAUAAUACUUUAAAAAAUCUGAAAAGGGGAGAACAAAAAUAACGCAAAAAAAUCUGCUGAGCCGCAAUUCACACCCAACGGAUCCCCACCCCCAACUUCGUCUUGUUCCCAAGCACCCCCUAUCGUUUUAAUUUUCUUGAGCAACAAACAUAAAGCAGAGAACACCACAAACCCCAUACCCAUCGGCUAGCUUCUUCUUCUCCAAACUCAGGAACAAAAAAUAACGCCUGGGACUCUAAUUGAAGAGGUAGCACUGAACAGUGAAAAAUACCCAUCCCCAGCGUUCUUCUUCGUCCUCAGCCGGACCUUCCAACUUGAUUCUGCCCAAACGACCCCUCUGAUUUUUGCCCUCAUCACCCCCUUCGUCUCUCUGCACACCCGUCAAAACCAUACUUGACACUUAAGAUGCCUUCCAGUGCCGAUUGCAGUUCCGUCCGAUUCGAGGUUGCAAUUCCGGUUCAAGUUGAAAUUUCGUCGUUUGGCACUCCAUUAUGGCUGUGUAAUUGCUGAAAAUUUUAGUUGAAUGAAGCUUUAAUUUCAAAUUCUCUGAAUUGUUGAUUUGUUUGCUCGUCCAGUCGAUUGUUAGUUUUGGUUCGUCUAUGCUUCGUCGCCAUUAAUAUCGAUUAGCGUCACUUGAAUGACGACUGAAUAGUUAGCGUCUUUCCCGCUACUGCUUCUUCUUUGCCGGUCAAAAUUCCAGCAAGCUCGAACUCGAAGAAUUUCAGGUCCUUCUUUUCUCUCUCAUUUUUCAAUAUAAUCACUGUUACUCCUUCCCUUUUCUACGCUGCCCGAAUUUCUGCUAUAUUGUUAUUCUUGUUUGGUUAAUCUCUUGUCGAGCUUUUUGUUGUUUUGAGAAGUAUAACUGCUAAUGGCUAUUGUUGGAUGAUUAUUGAAUCCCAAUUUGGUGGUUAAUUUUGGGCUAAGGUACAGAUUUAUGGGGGUCUAGAGAAGAAAAGUUUUAGUUAUGCACAUAAGAUACUUGUGAAAAUGAUUGACUGAAUUCAAUCAACAUGGAUGCUUUGAGUUUGAUUUUUGCGUAAUGUGUGAUGUUUUGAAGCUUAAUUCUUGUUGAUUUCUCCCUGUUAAGGUGUUGUACUUGAGGUCGAACUUUGAGUUUGGGUUGAUCCUUGUUUAAUCUAUGCUAAAUUGUGUGCAAAGUUGAGCAUUUGAGUCAGAUUGAAUGAGCUAAUUGUGUGCUCCAUUUUUCGGAAGAAGAUUAAAACCUAUAAUCAUUCCUUUCUUUUGCUUGAUUUGCCUUCAUGUUGCGGUUAUUACUUGGUAAUAGUGGAGCAUUUUCUAAUGUUGUCGACAUUUAGUGUGGAUAUGGAGUUCGAUUGGUUUUGUUUUGAGCAAUUGAUGUGGGGUCGAGCUAAGGUAGUCAUGGCCUGACUUUAGUUACACAAAUCAUGUAUUUCCACAUUGUUCUCCACAAAGACCUUUGCAGUGGACCUCAGAGUAGCGUAGGCUUAAUCAUGAACACCGUAGUUCUUUAAAUUGAGGUGCACGGUACCAAACAAAAUGACAAUUGCAUGGCUCUCAUCUUAAUUCUACAUUUAUCCUUAUCCGAGGCGUUCCAUUUAGCAAAUUUCAUGUCCCUCGCAAAGUGCAAACGCAUAGUUGUUUUAGGCGCGUGUUUAAUCAUUUUACUUUCUUAAAUUCGGGUGCACAUUUAUAUGACCCAAAUCCAAAUCCCAACGAAGUUGAAAUGUGUCAAAAAUCACGGGUGCAUUUAUCUGACGUGUUUCGAGACACAUUUUAACGACGUUGCAAUUCUCUUUAUAAAAUGAUAAUAAAAGCGGUUUAAAGUUAAAAAGCACAUAGGUUAAAAUAUGUUCUAAAAUCGAAUAAAUAAGCCAAAUAUGACAGUUGAGCGAUCCAUCUAGAACCACAGAACCUGGGAAUACCUAACACCUUCUCCUGAGUUAACAAAAUUCGUUACUCAGAUUUCUGGUUUGCGGACUGUUAAACAAAGUCAUUCUUUCCACGAUUCGGGAUUCUAAACUGAUGAUAUGGGACACGAUAAAUCUCUCAAAUGGAGACUCUGAAUCUCUUAAUAAACGAAAUCUCGUUUCGAUUAUCCUUUAAUUGGAAAACCCCAUUUAUACCUUUCGGGGGUGUAGUGAAAAAAGGAGGUGUGACAGUACUUUCAAACAAAAAAGAAGUUCAAAGAUUAACAGGGAGAAUUGCAGCCUUGGAAAAAUUUAUUUCUAAAUUAUCAGAGAAGUGUUUUAAAUUCUUCUCAGUCCUUAAGAAGCAAGAUCAUUUUGAAUGAGAUGAGGAAUGUCAACAAACGUCAAGGAACUUGAAAUCGUACUUAUCAAAUCCACCUUUACUAGCAAAACCAAAGGCUGGGGAGAGACAACUCAUUUACCUUGCUAUUUCAGAAGUAGUGGUAUGUGUUGUUUUGGUCCGAGAAGAACAAGGUAAACAAUCCCCUAUUUAUUAAGUUAGUAAAUCUUUGUUAGAUGCGGAGAAGUGGUAUCCUCAGUUGGAAAACUUGCACUUGCAUUAAUUAUGACAUUUAGGAAGUUAAGACCUUACUUUCAGUUUCACGCUAUUGAUUUAGUAACUACCUACCCCUUACAUAAUAUAUUACAUAAGCAUGAGUUAUCAGGCAGGUUGGUUGGGCUAUAGAAUUAAGCGAAUACGAAAUCUCAUACCAACCUAGAACUGCUAUAAAAUCACAAGUAUUGGCUGAUUUUGUGGCUGAUUUUAGCCAGGGGAUGCAAGAAAAAGAGUUACAGGUUUUCAAUGGUGCAAACCCAGAGACUUGGACUUUAUUUACUAAUGGUUCAUCUAACGUAAAAGGUGCAGGUUUAAGUAUUGUUUAGGUACCACUUACGGGUGAAACCAUUAGACAAGAUAUUAAAAGCCUCUCCAUAACUAACAAUGAAGCUGUGUAUGAGGUUGUGAUUGCAUGUUUAGAAUUGGCACAAGAACUUAGUAUAAAUCAGGUUGUAAUCAAAAGUAAUUCACAACUCGUGGUCAAUCAAAUGCUAGGGAUUUACACAGCUAGGGAAGCGAGGAUGCAACAGUACUUGGAAAAGGUACAGGAAUUGAUAAAGCAAAUUUCAAACAUGGAAAGUUAUGCAAAUACCAAGGGAUGAAAAUGUUGUUGAAAUAGAUGCCUUAGCUAACCUCGCAUCUCCAGUUGAUGUGGCAAGUGAUGCAAACACCUCAGUUAUACAUUUAUUUCAUUCAGUUCUCGAUCCUGAUAAGAAUGAGGUAAAUUUUAAUAAUUUAACUUGGAAUUGGAGAGACGAGAUUGUUGCUUUUUUACAGAAUGGUACCAUCCUUGAUGAUAAGAAAAAAGCUCAUGCGCUUCGAAAAAAGGCUGGUCGCUACUGCUUAAAGCAAGGCAAUUUAUAUUGUAAAAUGUUCGGUGGUCCCUUAGAAAGAUGCCUCGGACAUUCGCAAACGGGGUAUGUAAUAAGAGAAAAACACGCGGGACAUUAUAGAAAUCACGUAGGUGGAAGAUCAUUGGUAAGAACCUUAAUUAGGGCAGGUUAUUACUGGCCCAAAAUGGAAGAGGAAGCAGAAAGUUUCAUGGCUAAAUAACAAAUGCCAAAGGUACGGUAACAAUAUGCGUUGGAUUGAAGGAACAAGAUUGUUGCUUUUUUGUAGUAUGGUGUUGUCCCUGAUGAUAAGAGAAAAGCUCAUGCGCUUCAAAAAAGGCUGCUCGGUACUGCUUAAAACAAGAAAAUUUAUAUCGUAAAAUGUUCGGUGGACCCUUAGAAAGGUGCCUUGGACCCUCGCAAAUGGAAUAUGUAAUGAGAGAAAUACACGAGGGACAUUGCGGAAAUCACGCAUGAGGAAGGUCACUGGUAAAAACCUUAAUUAGGGCAGGAUAUUAUUGGCCUAAAAUGGAAGAAGAAGCAGAAAGUGUCGUGGCUAAAUGUGAUAAAUGCCAGAGGUACAGUAACAAUAUGCAUGGAUUUGAAGAGUUAUUACAUAUGAUCAUUCCACCAUGGCCAUUUAUGAAAUGGGGAAUGGACAUCGUGAGUCCAUUACCACAAGCAAAGGUCAGGUAAAAUUUUUGCUCGUACUUAAUAAUUAUUUUACUAUGGGUGGAGGCAAGAGUAUUAAAACAGGCACGAGAAAAGAAUGUCAAAGAUUUUAUUUGGAAAAAUAUCAUAUGUCAUUUUGGUGUAACAAAGGAGAUCGUAUGCGAUAAUGGCCCUCAAUUUAUUGGAGCUCAAAACAUGGAAUUCUUCCAAAGUUGGUAAAUUAAAAGGAUUACGUCUACACCUUCUCAUCCGGUGGGUAAUGGGCAAGCAGAAUAAACUAAUAAAGUCAAUAUCAACAAUUUAAUAAAGCGAUUAGAGGAAUCAAAAGGUAACUCGCCUGAAGUAUUACCUGGAGUUUUAUGGGCAUAUUGCACAAUUGCAAAAACGAGCAUAGGAGAAACACCAAUUUUAUUGGUUUAUGGAGCUGAGGCUUUAAGUUGAAAUAGGAGAACCAAGCAUAUAAUUCACACAGGCGACACAAGAAUCUAAUGACGAAGAGAUGUGAGUCAAUCCAGAUUUACUCGAAGGGGGAGAGGAGCUGCAUUAAUAAGAAUGACAGCACAAAAGCAAGUCAUAGAACGAUAUUAUAACAGAAAAGCACGUCUCAGAUUCUUCAAAAUUGGGGACUUCGUGCUUAAAAAGGUUUUUCAAUCUACAAAGGCAACUAACACAGGUAUAUUAAGUCCAACAUGGGAACGACCCUAUAGAGUUCGUGAUAUUGCAUGAAAGGGAGCAUAUGAAUUAGAGACAAUGGAUGGCAAGAUAUUACCUUCACACUAAAAUGUUGUUAAUUUGAAGAGAUAUUACUUCUAAAGAUUACCCACGGUCAGGUAUGACCAUUCUGAAUUUAAUGUCUUGAAUUGUUAAAAUUUUACUGACGAUUUUAGAUUAUAGGAAAAAAGCUAGCACGUGAUAAUGAUGAGUCAUGACCUGUUAGGCACACAGAAUAACCUAAACUUCCUGGCCUAGGGUUACAAUUAUUCUAAUAGAAAUUCAAACAUGUUAAGCAGUCUUCAUCUAUAAUCGCAUCUCCGAGUCCCGUAUGUUUUCCUUUUCAGGAAAAGGACCAAAGAAGAGAAACUAUCAAGUGAUCGAGGCUUCAUACGUCAACACUCAAACACUUUGGGGACUACAUAAUAUACAAAGACAUGUAUAUAAAGAAGGCAAAGAAGAUAGUGGAAAAAUCAAGCCUAAAAGAGCCAAGUGCAGAGUGAAAGUUGCAAAGUCACGAGAUGGAUCCACGGGCUACGGUCAAAGAGAAACCUCACUAUAGUUAGGAUAAAGGCUAUGUACUAAAACAUGUUAUAAAUAAAAACCUCGUGUACCGUGUCUAUUAUUUUUUUUAAAUAUGUUAUAAGGAAAAUAGUUACGAGAAAGUUAUAGAAGUAAUUCAUAUA